CGAAAGCCUGACGGAGCAACGCCGCGUGAGGGAGGAAGGUCUUUGGAUUGUAAACCUCUUUUCUCAGGGAAGAUAAUGACGGUACCUGAGGAAUCAGCAUCGGCUAACUCCGUGCCAGCAGCCGCGGUAAUACGGGGGAUGCAAGCGUUAUCCGGAAUUAUUGGGCGUAAAGCGUCCGUAGGCGGCUAGAUAAGUCUGUUGUUAAAGCGUGCAGCUCAACUGCAUACGGGCAAUGGAAACUAUUUAGCUAGAGUGUGGUAGGGGUAGAGGGAAUUCCCGGUGUAGCGGUGAAAUGCGUAGAUAUCGGGAAGAACACCAGUGGCGAAAGCGCUCUGCUGGGCCGCAACUGACACUCAGGGACGAAAGCUAGGGGAGCG
rnacentral:rRNA from 1 species